CGAUCUCUCUCUGUCUCAACCAACCGUACGAGUGCCGUUCAUUGAUCUUGACAGCGUUAAGAGGCGGGAGAAGCCCGUCACUGUGAUUUGCCGUUGAUUGAUCUUGGUCAUCGGCCACUUGCUCCACCAUUGCUUUGGUCAUCGAUUGACUUGAAAUCAAACAGGUAUACAGACCCACGGCUUUGUUUAGAUAGUUCUCCAACUCUUUCCUAAUUUUUUCAUUGUUGAAUUUAUGGGUGCUAUUUACAUAGUUCAAAAUUUGUUUCAGUGUUGAUUGAGUUGCUCGCAGAGGUCUCGUUUGGAUUGUCAAGAUCAAUUAUCUAGGUGAGUAUCCAUUUGCAUUAUAGGUGUUUGAUAAUAUGCUUGUUUCAGUCUAUGCUAUGUACAAUCAUAUAGGUGAAUAUCCAUUUGCAUUACAAGUGUUUGAUAAUAUGCUUGUGUCAAUCUAUGCUCUGUACAUGUAGGUUGGGCUUAUUGUUGAUUUGUUUAAUGCGUGCUUGUGUUCUCCCGAUUGCCGCCGACAACUCCACCUCUCUCUACCAGUUCAAUGUGUUCAACUCUUGCUGGUCGUGAGUUAACUGCAGUUUGAUAGGUCACAUACCAAGACUAGUUUAGACUGGCUGCGAUGAGGUAUAAUGUUAACGCUUAGUUCAAUUUGAUUGUUGCUAAUUGACAUUGCCUACAUUUAUUCAUUACGACAAAUUUCUAACUUCAGGGGUCAGACACAUCUUGAAUUGAUUGGCAAUGAGGUAAAAAAUAUCCUACCUUCUAAGCCUUUGUCGCAGUUUUGUUAAACUAAGGCUUACUUAAAUAUGACUUUGAAAAAUUCUGAUUUUGGCAAGAAUUUGGAGAUUAAUUAGUACUCUGUAAAAUUUUGUUUACUUUGGACCUCUUUCUUGUAUAGGUGUGGAUGGUAAAUGCACUAACGAAUAUAUUCCUUGCUUUAGGUGGCUGAACAUCUAAUUGUAGUUCUUUGCUUUAAACUUUUCAAUUGCUCUCUCUAGUUGAUGUUUUGGUUCUUAUAUCUUUUUAUUUGAAUUAGUUGCUGAUUUUUUUCCGUAGGCUACCCAUUUCAAACAAUUAUUCACAUAAUAAUGACUUUUUUUGUAGGCAUUGGUGACAUAACAACUCAAAUGUAGGGAAACUGGGGCAACAUAUUAUGCAGGAACAUGUUGUUGGAGCAAUGCUCUUUAAGGUAUCCUUUCAAUGAUGAAAAGACUUCUUUUGUCCAAGUAAAUACUGACUGAAAAGGUGUCAUCUCAUUUUAUUGGAG